GUCUGGGGUAGCUCAGGUGAUAAACCAUGAGGCUGUUAAUCUCAGGGUUGUGGGUUUGAGCCCUAAGUUGGGCA